GCCUAAUACAUGCAAGUCGAACGCAUUGUGGUUGAAAUGAUAUGAAGAACUUGUUCAGAUUUGAUUUUCAACAUUGCAAUGAGUGGCGAACGGGUGAGUAACACGUGGGAAACCUACCUCUUAGCAGGGGAUAACAUUUGGAAACAAAUGCUAAUACCGUAUAAUAAUUAAAACCGCAUGGUUUUAGUUUAAAAGAUGGUCUUGCUAUCACUAAGAGACGGUCCCGCGGUGUAUUAGUUAGUUGGUGAGGUAAUGGCUCACCAAGACAAUGAUACAUAGCCGAGUUGAGAGACUGACCGGCCACAAUGGGACUGAGACACGGCCCAUACUCCUACGGGAGGCAGCAGUAGGGAAUCUUCCACAAUGGACGAAAGUCUGAUGGAGCAACGCCGCGUGUGUGGUGAAGGGUUUCGGCUCGUAAAACACUGUUGUAAGAGAAGAAUGACAUUGAGAGUAACUGUUCAAUGUGUGACGGUAUCUUACCAGAAAGGAACGGCUAAAUACGUG
rnacentral:rRNA from 1 species